GUCGCUGUUGCGCAAUGGAUUGCGCGUUGAACUUUUAAUCCAAAGCAUGUGGGCUCGAAUCCCACUUGGGAUA